rnacentral:lncRNA from 1 species
GUUAGACCAGGCCUGUCAUGAAUAGGUUAGACCAGACCUGUCAGGAAUAGGUUAGACCAGACCUGUCAUGAAUAGGUUAGACCAGACCUGUCAGGAAUAGGUUAGACCAGACCUGUCAUGAAUAGGUUAGACCAGACCUGUCAUGAAUAGGUUAGACCAGACCUGUCAUGAAUAGGUUAGACCAGACCUGUCAGGAAUAGGUUAGACCAGACCUGUCAUGAAUAGGUUAGACCAGACCUGUCAGGAAUAGGUUAGACCAGAUCUGUCAGGAAUAGGUUAGACCAGACCUGUCAUGAAUAGGUUAGACCAGACCUGUCAUGAAUAGGUUAGACCAGGUGAAGCGAGGGUAGAGACUGGACAGGGCUGGGUAUAUCCUGUCAUGAAUAGGUUAGACCAGGUGAAGCGAGGGUAGAGACUGGACAGGGCUGGGUAUAUCCUGUCAUGAAUAGGUUAGACCAGGUGAAGCGAGGGUAGAGGCUGGACAGGGCUGGGUAUAUCCUGUCAUGAAUAGGUUAGACCAGGUGAAGUGAGGGUAGAGGCUGGACAGGGCUGGGUAUAUCCUGUCAUGAAUAGGUUAGACCAGGUGAAGUGAGGGUAGAGGCUGGGCAGGGCUGGGUAUAUCCUGUCAUGAAUAGGUUAGACCAGGUGAAGUGAGGGUAGAGGCUGGGCAGGGCUGGGUAUAUGUUUGGGAUUGGGAAGGCUCAGGGGACAAGGGGUUUUGGGUAUUUGAAGCGGCUUCACUUUUGUAUAAAAUGUAUCCUUUACAUUUCCCCAAAAAAACACUGACACAAAAAACUGUCCUGUUCUGGUCCCGUGUCUCCCUCUCCCUCUAUCAUCUUAGAGGUCCACUGUUUGUUCUAAACAACCCAUAGACAGUGUUACAAAAAUACAUAGACCUGCUAACAAUAACAGUUUAGUCUGGAGGUUACAAAGUGUUC